UAAAAAGCUUCCCACCAAAUUGAAAUUGAAAGUUCCUUAGGACAAAUGAGAAAUUAAAACAGCAUAUCAUUUUAUGAGGACAGGACAUAAAACGGAUCAGAAAUCAUUUAACCACAAAACUAAAAUGCUUCCCACCAAGUUGAAAGUUCCUUAGGACAAAUGAAAAAUUAAAACAGCAUGCCAUUUUAUGAGGGAAGAAUAUAAAAUGAAUCAGAAAUGUAAAUAUAAAAGCAUUUAACCAAGAAACAAAAAAACUUCGCACCAAGUUGUAAGUUCCUUAGGACAAAUGAAAAAUUAAACUGGGACAAUAUUUUAUGAGGAAAGGAAAUGAAAUGAAUUUGAAACGUAAAUAUAAAAGGUAUUAGGAUCACUUAUUUGGAAACCAGUCAUCGAGCCUUACCUUCUUCAGCCACUCGAACCAAUUGAUUGGAUCAAUUUAGUAGCACACCAAAAUAAUUGGGAGAUCUCGGGUUGCUGCCUCAGUUGUGGACUUUCAUAAGUAAUUUUAUAUAUGUAGUAUGUAAUUUGUAACAUUGCAAUUUAUUCCUUCAAUAGUAUGUAUCCACUUGUAUACAUGUUCAAUUGUGUCAACCAAGGUUUAUAACCUGCUGCUCUUUGAACAUUGGACUUGAUGAAUUGACAAUUAUGAU